AAUGACUUUCAUCAGACAGUCCACAGUGGCUGGCGAGGGAUUGCUCCUAAGAGAAGCAAACGGCGGCAGAAGCAGCUAACCCGCAAAAUCACCAUUUGGACGUUGAACUCCAAUUUCGAGUGGGAGGUGCAUUGUGAGAUCAACCUGGAUUGUCUCUGGGCACAACCUCGUUACCAAGGUCUGGGCUUACCUCGGCGUCUUCCUGAGUUCCCAGUCAUCAGCAUGGAUGACCCGGGUGUUCUGUGCUGCCUGCUGAGGGCGAAGGAAUUUGAUGGCAAGGAGUGGAUGAUCAUGGUUGACAUGAACCAUGCGGAUCUGCAGUCAUGUACUGAUGUGAAUGUAGAAGACAAGUUCUCUAAUACCACCCAACUUUCAACUGUCUUCUCCAAAUACCUUCAAAAGGCGAACAGGGAUGGCAUGGGACAACAUUGAGCUAACUUCAUUGAAAUGCAAGUCUGCAAUAUGAAGACCUGUAAUCUGGUGACUGAAGGUGAACACUUUGCGGAUGCUCAAAUCAAAGAUGUUGUUUGUCAAUGACGCGGUGCAGGCAGAACAGUUUGAUGAUGUACUGAUGAAUAUCUAUUGGAGUAACGCUACAUGUUCUGGAUCAUUUAAUCAUAUGUUUUAGCGUUAAAAGUAUGAGAUUGAAUAUCUUUUCUUUCAUGAAAA